GUCUCACUCAGCCUCUUGUGCAGCAGGCUGCGCUGUUACCAUGUUAGGCAAGUCAAGAGACUGUGGGUCCAGAGGCUUGAUGGGCGACCCUCCUGGACCCUGAAUUGUUGAUGAAGGCCCAGCGUGGAGACAGAAAACCUGAAGCCGUUGAGGAAGUGUGGUGUGUGUGUGUACGUGUGUGUGUGUGUGCUGGAGGGUUACUACCACUACAACAGAUCCACACCUCUUAUCAAAGCCUCUUGACAGCUCGAAUAAACUAAAGGUCCUGUGGCAGGAAAAGCAGUCCACACAUCUCCGUGAACCCAGCAGAGAGGAGAGGACGCGGAAGACGGAGAGCAGAGGGGAGACUCACGAGGUCUCAAGGCGCUCCUCCUCCUCCUGCGGCCCAGUCAGCAUCCUGCAUCAUUGGCCUUCAGCCGUCAGCUGGCCUCGCUCUCCUCAGACUCCAAGGUGUCCUGUUUCCUUCAGAACAAAGUCCAAAAAGACCCCGCAGCUAGAGAAACUUGCUGUGCAUGGAUGUGUGGAUGUGGGUCAAGGGCGUGCAGCCAACGGCAGAGGUGGGAGCGCGAUGGCCCCAGAGGGAGCAGUGUCCAGAACCAGGCAGAACUUUUAUUACAAGAACGUCAUUCAUGACAACAGCUCUCUCUGAGAGCUUCCGGUCCACGUCCGCUGUUCCUGGUUAGAGACGUGAACGGCAUGAGAAGGCGCAGCAUGGACGUGAGACACAGCGUGGAGCCGCCUGAACACCGAGAGGGCAACCUGCCCCGCACUGGCCAUCGGACGGGGUGUCACUGCACAAAGGAAAUCUGAUACCCCCGUCUCCAGGGAAAAUCAAGUCCUGGGCCAAGCUCCUGCCCAGCCCGGCACUUGUGUCCUGUGGCGACAGCGAACAGGUACCACUGUCCAUCAUCGGGGUUCAGGUCCAAGUGAAAUGGGGGGCUCUGGCCUCAGCAGAGGCUGAGGUACAUGGUUCUCAUUUAGUCUGCCAUCACCCCAAAUGCAGAUCAGCCGCACAACUCAUGGCUAGCGGGCCCGGCCAGGAGGGAGGCCGGCAAGGCUCCGCUCCAUCCCUCCCUCAGGCCUUCCUUCAGCUCUUCUCCUUCUUAGCUCCUUUUUCCUGUGUGAUUCAGUAUGAUUUGACUGUCCUUUUUUCCUUCCUUCCUUCACCAGGUUUCUGAACAGACCUACUACGUGCCAGCACUAUGCUGGACCCUGGGAACCAUGCCUGGACAGCACAGACACCCGGUCCUUGGGAGCCAAGGCCAUUUCUAAAGAUCAAUUUCUUGUUCCUUUUACUCGUGUUCCCCGUUUGACACCUUAUUAGCCAUAACCACUGGACAACAGCAUUGAUUGUUAAUAACCUGCAUUUCAGGACCCAGCAAAGCCCCAUGGGUUAUGAAUGAACUAGUAGCAGCUGUGAGAUAACAGUGUAGACGGUUCCAGGUGGG
rnacentral:lncRNA from 1 species